AUUGAACGCUGGCGGCAUGCCUUACACAUGCAAGUCGAACGGCAGCACGGGUGCUUGCACCUGGUGGCGAGUGGCGAACGGGUGAGUAAUACAUCGGAACAUGUCCUGUAGUGGGGGAUAGCCCGGCGAAAGCCGGAUUAAUACCGCAUACGAUCUACGGAUGAAAGCGGGGGACCUUCGGGCCUCGCGCUAUAGGGUUGGCCGAUGGCUGAUUAGCUAGUUGGUGGGGUAAAGGCCUACCAAGGCGACGAUCAGUAGCUGGUCUGAGAGGACGACCAGCCACACUGGGACUGAGACACGGCCCAGACUCCUACGGGAGGCAGCAGUGGGGAAUUUUGGACAAUGGGCGAAAGCCUGAUCCAGCAAUGCUGCGUGUGUGAAGAAGGCCUUCGGGUUGUAAAGCACUUUUGUCCGGAAAGAAAUCCUUGGCUCUAAUACAGUCGGGGGAUGACGGUACCGGAAGAAUAAGCACCGGCUAACUACGUG
rnacentral:rRNA from 1 species